ACGCUCGACACCUACGGGAGGUAGCAGUGGGGAAUAUUGCACAAUGGGGGAAACCCUGAUGCAGCAACGCCGCGUGAAGGAAGACGGUUUUCGGAUUGUAAACUUCUGUUCUUAGUGAAGAUAGUGACGGUAGCUAAGGAGCAAGCCACGGCUAACUACGUGCCAGCAGCCGCGGUAAUCUGAGCGGGCUGGCAAGGC
rnacentral:rRNA from 1 species